UACAGAGGGGGCAAGCGUUGUUCGGAAUUACUGGGCGUAAAGGGCGCGUAGGCGGCCUGCUAAGUCAUACGUGAAAUCCCUCGGCUCAACCGGGGAACUGCGUGUGAUACUGGCGGGCUUGAAUUCGGGAGAGGGAUGCGGAAUUCCAGGUGUAGCGGUGAAAUGCGUAGAUAUCUGGAGGAACACCGGUGGCGAAGGCGGCAUCCUGGACCGAGAUUGACGCUGAGGCGCGAAAGCCAGGGGAGCAAACAGG
rnacentral:rRNA from 1 species